rnacentral:lncRNA from 1 species
UACCCUCAUGGCCGGCCUCUCCAUCUCCUAGGCAGCCUGGCAUCCUCGCUACAACCUCAUUGUUGUGGGCCGAUACCCAGAUCCUAAUUUCAAAAGUUGUACCCCUUAUGAAUUGAGGACGAUCGACGUGUUCGAUGGAAACUCAGGGAAGAUGAUGUGUCAGCUCUAUGACCCAGAAUCUUCUGGCAUCAGUUCGCUUAAUGAAUUCAAUCCCAUGGGGGACACGCUGGCCUCUGCAAUGGGUUACCACAUUCUCAUCUGGAGCCAGGAGGAAGCCAGGACACGGAAGUGAGAGACACUAAAGAAGGUGUGGGCCAGACAAGGCCUUGGAGCCCACACAUGGGAUCAAGUCCUGCAAGCAGAGGUGGCGAUUUGUUAAAGGGCCAAAAGUAUCCAAGGUUAGGGUUGGAGCAGGGGUGCUGGGACCUGGGGCACUGUGGGACUGGGACACUUUUAUGUUAAUGCUCUGGACUUGCCUCCAGAGACUGCUCCAGAGUUGGUGACACAGCUGUCCCAAGGGCCCCUCUGUAUCUAGCCUGGAACCAAGGUUAUCUUGGAACUAAAUGACUUUUCUCCUCUCAGUGGGUGGUAGCAGAGGGAUCAAGCAGUUAUUUGAUUUGUGCUCACUUUUGAUAUGGCCAAUAAAACCAUACCGACUGA